rnacentral:rRNA from 1 species
GAGUUUGAUCCUGGCUCAGAACGAACGCUGGCGGCAGGCCUAACACAUGCAAGUCGAGCGCAGUCCUUCGGGACCGAGCGGCGGACGGGUUAGUAACGCGUGGGAACAUACCCUUUUCUACGGAAUAGCCUCGGGAAACUGAGAGUAAUACCGUAUACGCCCUUCGGGGGAAAGAUUUAUCGGUUAAGGAUUGGCCCGCGUUAGAUUAGAUAGUUGGUGGGGUAAUGGCCUACCAAGUCUACGAUCUAUAGCUGGUUUUAGAGGACGAUCAGCAACACUGGGACUGAGACACGGCCCAGACUCCUACGGGAGGCAGCAGUGGGGAAUCUUAGACAAUGGGCGCAAGCCUGAUCUAGCCAUGCCGCGUGAGUGAUGAAGGCCUUAGGGUCGUAAAGCUCUUUCGCCAGGGAUGAUAAUGACAGUACCUGGUAAAGAAACCCCGGCUAAAUUCCGUGGCAGCACCCCCGGUAAUAAGGGGGA